AUGGAUGUUUAAUAGGAAAGGUACAUAGGGAAGAGUUCAAGGUGAGGUAAUGUUUUUUUAUAGUGUUGAUGCUUCGUGAGUUAAUACCAAAGAAACUGCUAGAGAUGGAUGUUUAAUAGGAAAGGUACAUAGGAAAGAGUUCAAGGUGAGGUAAGGUUUUUUUUAUAGUGUUGAUGCUUCGUGAGUUAAUACCAAAGAAACUGUUAGAGAUGGAUUGUUAAUAGGUAAGAUAUAUAUAUAAUAGUUCACGGUGAGGUAAUGUUUUUUUUAGCGUUGAUGUUUCGUGAAUUAAUACCAAAGAAACUGUUAGAGAUGGAUGUUUAAUAGGUAAGGCAGUUAAAAAAGGCAAAUAAGGAUUGAAGGAUGAAAUUGAAUGUUAGGAAAAGGAGAGUUGAAAUGAGGAGGAAUAGAAGCACUGCAAAAAUUAUGGAGGAGAGGCAGGUUGAGGGUAAUGGUUCAGGGUGAGAUAAUGUGUUACCUGUGUUGAUAUUAAGUGAGUUACUACCAAAGAUGCUGGAGACGCGUAGGAAUCUAAGUGGUUAACGGGAGGCUGACAUGGAUAGCAGCUGAUAUGAACGAGAUAACAGACUACCGCUCUCUGUCUUUUCCCUCACAUUACUUCUCUCUCUUUUUCCAUUCACCGACGCACUGAUCAAAAAAAUCCCCAAAAAACGAUAUAACACGCUUUAUCUGUCUUUUCCCUGCGUCUAUAAAUCUCUUACCACUCCGACGCUUUGUUAAAAAAAAUCCCCCUCUGAAACCCAUAGUAGCGAUUUUUGUCUUUUCCCUAAAUCCAUAAAUCCCUCAACUCUCCGACGGUUUGUUCAAAAAAAUCCCCAAAAAACGAUAUAACACGGCCUCUGAAACCCAUAUUAGCGAUUUUUCUGUCUUUCCUUCCGUCUAUAAAUCCCUCAACUCUCCGACGCUUUGUUCAAAAAAAUCCCCCAAAAAACGAUAUAACACGGCCUCUGAAACCCAUAUUAGCGAUUUUUCUGUCUUUCCUUCCGUCUAUAAAUCCCUCAACUCUCCGACGCUUUGUUCAAAAAAAUCCCCCAAAAAACGAUAUAACACGGCCUCUGAAACCCAUAUUAGCGAUUUUUCUGUCUUUUCCCUCCGUCUAUAAAUCCCUCAACUCUCCGAUGCUUUGUUAAAAAAAAAAAUCCCAAAAAAACUAUAUAACACGGCCUCUGAAAUCCAUGGUAGCUCUCUCUCUGUCUGUCAUUUUCCUCUGUCUAUCUCUCUCUCUCUCCAUUCUCCUUUAUGACGGUGAUUAUGUAUAGCGGCCUUGAGCGAGACAUGACGAGACCCCAGAGAGAAAAAAAAUACCACAGUUACACCCUCAGACAUGAAGCUAAAUAUACGGAUGUCUUUUUUUUAUUAAUCUUGUUUUUGCCCCAAGAAGCGAGCGAGCGAGGGAGGGAGGGAUGGAGGCCGCGGUAAGAACGUUCAGUGUGUCAAAUAGUCUCUAAAUAUAUGGCUUGGUUGGGGGCUGAGGGAAGGGUAACUUGAUGGUCUGACGUCAUUCCGCGAACCUUAUCAUGAUAUUUUAGUACUUGUGGGAGGAGGAGGAGGAGAAUGUUGCGUUAGCGGUUACACAAGAUGAAGGAAUGAGAGACUAGGCUAAUGAAGAGUUUGAGGGAUAGAAAAGGAAGACAAGGAAUAUAAAACAAACACUACAUUGAUAUCCCAGUAGCUUCAUGCAGGAGGAGGAGGAGGAGAAUGUUGUGUUAGCGGUUACACAAGAUGAAGGAAUGAGAGACUAUGCUAAGGAAGAGUUUGAGGGAUAGAAAGGAAAGACAAGGAAUAUAAAACAAACCCUAUAUUGAUAUCCCAGUAGCUUCAUGCAGGAGGAGGAAGAGGAAGAGGACGUUGCGUUACAAGAUGAAGGAAUGAGAGACUAGGCUAAUGAAGAGUUUGAGGGAUAGAAAGGAAAGACUACCUUGGUAUCUCAAUAGCUUCAUCCAGGAGGAGGAGGAGGAGAAAAAGUUGAAAAAAAGUGGCGCUAUAUAAUAUGACUCACCCAACCAAACUUAAAGAAUGCAAGUGUACAAAAAAAGGCCACAAACUUAACCGCAAUUGCAGCCCAUUCUUGCACGCGUCCACUUGAAACUCUAAAUGUGAGAGGAGGAGGAAGAAAAAGAGAGAAAAAUUGUAGCAGUUAAAGGAAAGGUAGGAGAGAAGAGGGAGGGAAACGGUGAAUAUUUAAUAGUUUUUUCACCUUCCACCUUUUCAUAACAGGUGUGAAUGAUGGCCUAGCAAGGGAGGGAGGCUGUAUGGGUGGGUGUGUACGGAGAAGCGAGGGGAAGUGAAGGAGACGUUGAGACAUGUUUGCAUACCUUGAUCUAUAUACUACCUUGGUUCUUAUAUUUAUGACGAGAGCUUUCGUUUUUUUAUGACAGGUUUAUUCUUGUGUAUAUAUAUUGGUGCCAUUACUUGAGAGAUGAACUGUCGGUGUGUAUUUUUGUUUUUUUCAUACACUGUUAUUUCUUCAUUGCUUCAGAUGUAUCGACUCUGAACAUUCCGAGGGGGUUAGAUUCACUCCUCAAUCCUCCGUAUAUAGCCUUAGAGAGUGAGGUCAACUUUAUAGGCGAAUUAUUAUUAUCAAUGUUUUCUUCCAUUUCCAUUUCUUCAUUGUUUGCCAAGUUUAUUCUCUCACAUAUACCAUUGAUUCCAUUUCCUAAUAGACAAACCGUUGAUACUGAUGUUCUUUCCUCCACUAACU